GCUGGUCGUGGUGGCAGACGCCUGUAGUCCCAGCUACUUGGGAGGCUGUGGCAGGAGAAUGGUGUGAACCCGGGAGGCUGAGCUUGCAGUGAGCCAAGAUCGCGCCACUGCACUCCAGCCUGCAGUCUGGGCGACGGAGCGAGACUCCAUCUCCAAAAAUAAAUAAAUAAAUAAAUAUAUAUAUUUUUGUUUUCUAUUGAGACGGAGUCUCGCUCUGUCGCCCAGGCUGCAGGCUGGAGUGCAGUGGCGCGAUCUCAGGUCACUGUAACCUCUGCCUCCCGGGUUCCAGUAAUUCUCCCUGCCUCAG
rnacentral:SRP_RNA from 1 species